UACGGAGGGUGCGAGCGUUGUCCGGAAUCACUGGGCGUAAAGGGCGCGUAGGCGGCCUGGUAAGUAGGGGGUGAAAUCCUGCGGCUUAACCGCAGGGCUGCCUUCUAAACUGUCAGGCUCGAGCACGGUAGAGGCAGAUGGAAUUCCGAGUGUAGAGGUGAAAUUCGUAGAUAUUCGGAAGAACACCAGUGGCGAAGGCGACUCACUGGACAUGUAUUGACGCUGAGGUGCGAAAGCGUGGGGAGCAAACAGG
rnacentral:rRNA from 1 species